rnacentral:lncRNA from 1 species
UGUGUGUACCUGUGUUUGUGUGUGUCUUAGCGGAGCGUCUCUGUACUUGGCUCCGUGUGUGUGUGUGUGUGUGUGUGUGUGUGUGUGUGUGUGUGUGUGUGUGUGUGUGUGUCUGAGUUAGCAGGGCGUCUCUGUACCUGGCUCUCAACUGCGUGAUUCAUCUCACUGCAUAUCCGGAAACUCCCAGUGCACUCCACAAGUACUGUCAGCUGGAUGCGUGGACUUUACAAUGGAACUUGGGCCUAAAUGACUAUAUCCCGUCAGGGCCAGUAGCUAUAUAUUCAUUGGGUUCUCAGUUAAGGAAUCUGAGACAGCUUGUAAGCCUCAGCAUCUACCUCUCAGUUUGUCCAUUUGUUUUUUUCCGUUGUGCACCCUCCCACCCCCCAUUAGAUUUUGUACCAUUUUUAAUUUGUAAUUAAUUUUUAGUCACAGGAAAUAACCAUGGUGCUCAGUGGUCUUGAUAAGAUGAUUCAACUUCAGAAGAACACUGCCAACAUUAGGAAUAUCUGUGUUUUGGCUCAUGUUGACCACGGAAAAACUACCCUUGCUGAUUGUCUUAUAUCCAGUAAUGGAAUCAUCUCCAGCCGUCUGGCAGGCAAGUUAAGGUACAUGGACAGCAGAGAAGAUGAACAGGUCAGAGGGAUCACCAUGAAGUCCAGCGCCAUUUCACUACAUUAUGCAGAAGGUAAACCGUCUGUUUUGUUUGUUCUUAUCUUUCACACCCUGGCCCUUCUCUUUCUGAAUUAAUCGCACACCUUGGUUUUUGGUUUUUCUUUUUGCUUUGUGCCCCACGGAUCUCAUUCUGGCCUCUCCAGAAGAUCUGUGGUCAGUCAGGCUGUCCAGGCUUGGAUGCAGAUGGGGACAUGGGGACAGAAGGACUGGUGGUUCCCAGCCACCUGCCUCCAGCAGGUAGUUGUAUGGGUUUCUUUAUAAGGAAAGCCAGGAAGGAGCUAGGACUUUUCUGGUUGGUCCUCAGCCUUCCAUUUCCUACUGGGUCCUUCUUCUGCUUCUUGGCCUGCAUAUGAGAUUUGGAGUCUUAGUUACAGAACUGUGGGUUGCUCUAACCACGACUACCUGUUACUCUGAUCGGUACUAUCUUUCUAUCUGCAAAUACAGAUGCCAUUCUGAUAGUAACACGUAAUACUCUGACAAAAUGGUCAAACAAAUGCCAUGACAUGUAUGUUCACAAGAGCUUUGCAUUGGUGAAAACAUGCCAGAAACGUGAAUGUCAAGAGGAAAACAAUGAAAUGAAUUGUUAUAUCCAUGCUGCAGAAUAUUAUAUAGCUGUUGAAUGCUUAAAUAUAUAGAAUAUAUUUAUAUAGGUCAUAUAGAUAAAUGGUGUGUUUAGAGACAGGAAAGCAAAGUAUUUCUGUGAGCUAUGAAUGUGCAUGUAUGCAGCAGAUAAGAAAGGCUUCUGCAAGGAAACAUUUUAAACCUCCCCAGUAGAUAUCUCCAGAAACUGGAUUAUCAUGAAAUUUGUGCUUUUCAAAAUAUUUAUUUUUGUAAUGUUUGAAAACUUUAUGCAAGAUGUAUACUUUGAAGAAAAUAAUAAAGAGUUAUUUCCCU